AAAUGAUUUACAGCAAUUAUGACACCAAUAGCUUUAUUUUCUCCACCAUUUUUCAAUUUGGAUGCAUCAACCCAACACAGAAUUAAAGAUAUGGUCUUGUCUGCAUUUACACGUAAGGAGUGAGACAGGAAGCAGAGAGGUGAAGUGAUUUCUUGAGGAUGCCAAGGAGUUACUAGGUUGUGCUAGCAAGGCUGUUCCUGGACCUGAUCAAGUUUAUCUCAGUUUUAGACAUACCCAGAGACAGAAAUGAAUAUUUGCUCUCUAAAGGAUGGCAGCAGAGCGGCAGUCUGACAAAAUGGCGUAUGACAUGGAUGCGCAUAUGAAGCACAGGUGUGUCAUUGAAUUCCUCCAUGAAGAAAAAAAUGGUACUGAUUGAAAUCUAUCAAUGCUGGCUGAACAUUUAUG
ensembl:lncRNA